rnacentral:tRNA from 1 species
GAGGGGAUAGCUCAAGUGCUAGAGUGCAUGCUUAACAUGCAUGAGGUCCCGGGAUCAAUCCCCAGUGCCUCCU